rnacentral:rRNA from 1 species
UACGUAGGGGGCAAGCGUUGUCCGGAUUUAUUGGGCGUAAAGAGCGUGUAGGCGGCCAAGCAGGUCAGCUGUGAAAACUCGAGGCUCAACCUCGAGACGUCGGUUGAAACCGCUUGGCUAGAGUCCGGAAGAGGAGAGUGGAAUUCCCGGUGUAGCGGUGAAAUGCGCAGAUAUCGGGAAGAACACCCGUGGCGAAGGCGGCUCUCUGGGACGGUACUGACGCUGAGACGCGAAAGCGUUGGGGAGCGAACAGG